AUACGAAAGGUGCAAGCGUUGUUCGGAUUUACUGGGCGUAAAGAGAGUGUAGGUUGUUUAUUAAGUCGGAUGUGAAAUCCCGGGGCUCAACCUCGGAACUGCAUUCGAUACUGAUAGGCUAGAGUUUGGGAGGGGUAAGCGGAAUUCCGUGUGUAGCAGUGAAAUGCGUAGAUAUACGGAGGAACACCUGAGGCGAAGGCGGCUUACUGGACCAAUACUGACACUGAGACUCGAAAGCGCGGGUAGCAAACAGGAUUAGAAACCCCGGUAGUCC
rnacentral:rRNA from 1 species